UGAAUACGAGAUGCUACGGCGUCGAAGCAGUGUAUGUCAGACUUCCAAGAAAAGCUCGCAAUGUCAUAAAUAAAGAAUGCCUGUACCAUAACCGACACAGGUGGGUAGGUAGAGUAUACUAAGGGGCGCGAGAUAACUCUCUCUAAGGAACUCGGCAAAAUAACUCCGUAACUUCGGGAGAAGGAGUGCCUUCUUUAAGAAGGUUGCAAUAACAAGAUCCAAGCAACUGUUUAUCAAAAACACAGGUCUCCGCUAAGUCGUAAGACGAUGUAUGGGGGCUGACGCCUGCCCAGUGCCAGAAGGUUAAAGAAGUUGGUUAGCUUUUGCGAAGCUGAUGACUGAAGCCCUGGUGAACGGCGGCCGUAACGAUAACGGUCCUAAGGUAGCGAAAUUCCUUGUCGGGUAAGUUCCGACCCGCACGAAAGGCGUAAUGAUUUGGAUACUGUCUCGGAGAGGGACUCGGUGAAAUAGACUUGUCUGUGAAGAUGCGGACUACCUGCACCAGGACAGAAAGACCCUAUGAAGCUUUACUGUAACUUGAAAUUGAAAUUGGACUUUAUUCGCGCAGUAUAGGUGGAAGGCGUUGAAAGUAAUCUUGCGGGAUUAGUGGAGCCAUCAGUGAGAUACCACUCCUAUAAUGUUAGAUUUCUAACUUUGGAUCAUGAUCUGGUCAAAGAACAGUUUCAGGCGGGCAGUUUGACUGGGGCGGUCGCCUCCCAAAUGGUAACGGAGGCGUACAAAGGUUUCCUCUGAACGGGUAGAAAUCGUAUCUAGAGUGUAAAGGCAUAAGGAAGCUUGACUGUGAGACCUACAAGUCGAGCAGGGACGAAAGUCGGUCUUAGUGAUCUGACGGUGCUGAGUGGAAAGGCCGUCACUCAACGGAUAAAAGUUACUCUAGGAUAACAGGCUGAUCUCCCCCAAGAGUUCACAUCGACGGGGAGGUUUGGCACCUCGAUGUCGGCUCAUCGCAUCCUGGGGCGGUAGUACGUCCCAAGGGUUGGGCUGUUCGCCCAUGAAAGCGGUACGCGAGCUGGGUUCAGAACGUCGUGAGACAGUUCGGUCCAUAUCCGGUGUAGGCGUUAGAAUAUUGAGAGGAGCCUUCUUUAGUACGAGAGGACCGAGAAGGACAUACCUCUGGUGUACCAGUUAUCGUGCCAACGGUAAACGCUGGGUAGCUAUGUAUGGAGAGGAUAACCGCUGAAAGCAUCUAAGUGGGAAGCCCACCUCAAGAUGAG
rnacentral:rRNA from 1 species